GAUGAACGCUGGCGGCAUGCCUAAUACAUGCAAGUCGAACGAACAGACGAGGAGCUUGCUCCUCUGACGUUAGCGGCGGACGGGAGAUUCACACGUGGACAACCUACCUCUCCGACUGGGAUACCUUCGGGAAACCAGGUCUAAUACCCAAUGAUAUAUUGAACCGGAUUGUUCACUAGUUAGAUUAGGUUUUGCUGUCACUUAUAGAUUAAUCCGCGCCGAAUUAGCUAGUUGGUAAGGUAACGGCUUACCAAGGCAACGAUGCUUAGCCGACCUGAGAGGGUGAUCGGCCACACUGGAAGUGAGAAAGGGCCCAGACUCUGACGCGAGGCAGCAGCAGGGAAUCUUCCGGGAUGGGCGAAAGCUUGACGGAGCAAAGCGGCGGGAGUGAUGAAGGUCUUCGGCUCGGAAAGCGAUGUUAGUAGGGGAGAACAAAUGUGUAAGUAACCAUGAACGUAUUGACGGUACCUAAUGAGAAAGCCACGGCUAACUACGUG
rnacentral:rRNA from 1 species